GGGGAUGUAGCUCAGAUGGUAGAGCGCUCACUUAGCAUGCGAGAGGUACAGGGAUCGAUACCCCGCAUCUCCA
rnacentral:tRNA from 1 species